rnacentral:rRNA from 1 species
GCGCCCGUCCCGCCGGCCCCCGCCCGCCUACGGGAGGCAGCAGUGGGGAAUAUUGGACAAUGGGCGCAAGCCUGAUCCAGCCAUACCGCGUGGGUGAAGAAGGCCUUCGGGUUGUAAAGCCCUUUUGUUGGGAAAGAAAUCCAGCCGGCUAAUACCUGGUUGGGAUGACGGUACCCAAAGAAUAAGCACCGGCUAACUUCGUGCCAGCAGCCGCGGUAAUACGAAGGGUGCAAGCGUUACUCGGAAUUACUGGGCGUAAAGCGUGCGUAGGUGGUCGUUUAAGUCCGUUGUGAAAGCCCUGGGCUCAACCUGGGAACUGCAGUGGAUACUGGGCGACUAGAGUGUGGUAGAGGGUAGCGGAAUUCCUGGUGUAGCAGUGAAAUGCGUAGAGAUCAGGAGGAACAUCCAUGGCGAAGGCAGCUACCUGGACCAACACUGACACUGAGGCACGAAAGCGUGGGGAGCAAACAGGAUUAGAUACCCUGGUAGUACCACGCCCUAAACGAUGCGCAACCUGCGCAUGUUGGGUGCAAUUUGCG